UGUUUCGAGAAUUCCUGAUGACAAUCUUCUCACUCUGGGGAUGGCAUCAUGUCCUCCCUGAGUACAAGGCCAUGCUCUGCGUCAUACUUAAUUCCAUGCCAUGGGUUACUGUACUAACUACAGUCGUGUCUCUCACCAUCACAUCAGCUGCUCAGAGAUCUUACGUGCUGACCGCCGUCAUCUUCUUACUAGCUACAACCUUGGUAGCAUGCUUUGCUGCAAAGCUUGUUGUAGAGUAUGCUAAGGCGCCUCUGGAGGCCAAAGCAUACGCACCAAGGGCCAAGGUGCUGAGAGACGGGAGUCGGAUAGAUGUGCACGCAGAUAAUUUCGUCCCUGGGGAUAUCAUAUUUCUCAAGGUUGGGGAUAUUGUCCCUGCCAAUGCUCGUGUCCUCUGGUUUCACAAAAUUGACAUGCUGACUUGCUGGGCUAAAAGAUCUGUUGACUGUGUGCAUGGCUUCCUCAUAUAUUAUGCUUGGACGGUGUCAUGUGGCCAAGGGACUGCUGUUGUUAUUGCGACUGGCAGUGGUAUCCCUAGAUGCACACUGCGACUCUACCCACAGCGUUAUGCUCGGCCAGGGCAACUUAAAGAGGGAAUCAUGGUUACUGGGUGCUUCUGUUUUUUCUCUUAUACUUGCUGGCACCGUUGCUGAGCUAGUCUUAAUAUUGCUCUUCCGUAAACACAACCUUGAGUACAUGCUGCACAAUUGCCACUUUAUGCCAUUGAUUGGUGGGAUUCCAAUGGCAAUGCCCAUUGUCCUCUACCUGGCAUUAGCAUUGGGAUCUCUAAGGCUUUGUUUUCUGGGAAUUGCUAGCCGAGGAACAGUUGCACUUGAAGAUCUGGCCGGUACGGAUGUGAUGCUCUUCAACCUGAUUGGUACUACUUUAAUGUUUAAUAAGCCAUAUUUGUUCCGGGACAAGAUUGAGUUGUUUGCUGACGCUGUUGACAAAGAUCAAGCUAUUAUAUUAGCUGCACGAGCAUCAAGAUCUCAACAUGAAUUCUAUAUAUAUAGAGCCAAUUGAUGCAGCUAUUCUGAGCCGCUUGGAUGAUCCAGAACAGGCAAGAACUGGUAUUGAGGUCUUAGAACACCAUUCCCGCUUCUUUGUUGCACUGAAGUUGAUGUUCCUAACUACAUACAUUGAUAGCAAUGGACCCAAGUGCUGCGUAUUCAAAGGUGGAUCAUCAAUGUGGCUGGCAAAGCAGUCAAACAGACAAGAAGCAUGGUGAUGGAUAAUUUUGCUCUUGAUGGGUAUCAAGCCAUAGCUGUAGGACACCAGGUAGGCUCAUGCUGGGAGUACAUUGGUCUUCUAUCUUUCAGAGAUGACCUUAGAAGUGAUAGUGCAGAUUCCAUUGAUAGCCUUAUCGAUUUGGGUUUGGAUAUAAGAAUCCCCACAGAAAGGCCAUUGUUUUGACUACAAAGCAAGUAUGUGGAAAGCUUGGAAAAGUAGGCAUCAAUGUGUUACCUGCCCACUCGGUGUUUGAUUUAGCUCGUAAUAACAGAUAAGUUCACUUAAACAUCAAUGGGAUUUCCGAUCUCUUUCCAGACGAUAACAGUGAUAUAGUGAGAAGGCUAAGAGAUUUCGGAUGGCAUUGCGCAAUGGUUGGCCUGUCCUGUUACCUAUUUCAUCAGCUGUGCAAAUCAGUAGGGAGAUGUGUCAAAUUAUGAGGGGUUACACGAUCUACACUGUGUCAUCAACUGUGCAUCUUGUUGGUAUCCAUGUCAUUUUACUCUUGUGGAACUUUAACUUGCCAAGUUUCCUGGCUUUGGUGAUUGCCACUUUUAGCUAUUGUACAUCCUUUGCAAUAUUAUUUGAAAGGGUGGAACUGAGUAAUUCACCAGAUAGAUAGAGAGUUAAGAAAAUCAUUGCAAGCGGUGUUGCUUCUGGUAGCUACAUAAUUCUAAGUACAGCCAUUUUUUUCAGGGCUGCAACACUUCCAGACUUCUUUUCAUAUAAAUUCUGAGGUAGAUCGCUGAUGGGCUCCGAUGAAGAAAUUAGAGCUGCUUUGUUCCUUCAGAUGAGCAUAGUGAACCAGGCUGUACUGUUUGUUCAUUCUGACAACUGCUACCUUAUCAGAUGUCCUGGACCUGUUGUAGCAUGUACUUUUAUUUUUACUCAGAUGCAUGAUAAUUUGGCACAGGAUCAAUGUGUCUGGCUAGGAAUGAUUGGCUAACAGUUGACAAUGUUAAGAGUUAAGCCAUUGUGGCAACCCAUAAAACUGUAUAUGGUGACUUGGAUUUGGCACUACCAAAGGGUGUUGGUUGCCUCAGAGCAGGAUCGAUAUGGUUGUACAACUUUGUGGUGCUCAUGACCCCUGUUUUAAUUUGUCACACAUGGAGGCGUGCAAACAUGACUAGUGAAAAGUUGCUGACAAUAUGCAUACAUUCAGCCAUCUUGCGUAUAGCUUUGCUCUGGUCACUGUAUGCAAUACUUGAUGUCAGGCUGCAGCAGCCGGGCUCUACUUAGAUGCCUCAAGUGUAGGAAAUAUUCUUGUAGCCAGUCAUUUUUAAGUGUAUAACCUGUAAAUCCUUCAAGUAAAUAUAUCUGGAUCGCAAAGUUAUACAUCGAUCCCUCUUUAGUCUUUAUUCAGAAAACACAAUUCCAGUGUCACAAUGUUGUACA